AUGCAAUAAUAACCAAAAUAUCAGAGAAAAGUUAAUAAAAGUAUCAGAGAAACUAAGAUGAGGAACAAGUAUCAGAAGCAUAAAUAAGAAACAUAAGAAAGGACAUAAACACAAGUAAAAUGUGUGCAAUCUAGGGUUGGGUUUGUUUCUUCAUCAUUUCCUUCAUCAUUGUUGUCAUCUCCUUUGAUUGCUUCAACAAAGAUUCCUCUAUAGAAUCUGACCUUCUAUCUUGGGCUUCUUCUCUUGCUUUAUGCUCUUCUCACAUUUCUGCCAUUUGCUUCAUCAUUAUUUAGGAUCUUGUUUCAGCUUCUCAAGAAUUGGGAUUUUAGCUUUGACCUUUACUUGAGUUAACAAGGAUAAGUUCAGAUCCUCUUGAAUUCCAGAAGUGAUGAUUGAUGAAGCAUCCAUAAAGAAUGGAGAGUCUGAGAUGUAUAAUCUGUUUCUUUUGACUUCCACUUCUUUCAUACUCUUUAUAACCUCUUGAAACUAGUUGUUGAGUGACUGAUUUUGAGCUUCAUUAGAUAGUCUUUGCAGAUCACAUAAGACUUUAUCUACUCUUUCUCUUAGAUCAGUCCACUUGUCUUCAUAAUUCACAGAGUGAACUGGAUUGUUUCUAGCCUUGACAAGUUUUGACAGAUCCUCAAAAAUAUUUUCUCAUACCUCUUUUAAUACAAUAAAAUCUAAUAGCAGGGUAGGAGGUGGUGAAACAUGGCUAGUUUGAGGUGCAGGGAUAAAAACUUGAUCUAGGAUAGGCUGAUUUGUAGAUGAAGAGGGUGUAUCAAGUGUUGAUUGAGAUGAGAUGUUUGGAUUUCUAUCAGUAAUGAAUUUAGGCAUAUCUUCAUCAGAAGAGUCCAGUGAACCACAUAUGGUCCAACCUGGCUGAUGAGAUGUUCCUGAAUCAAUAGAUGCUUGGCUAGUAGAGGCUGAGGCAGGUGUAGAUUGAAUAGAAGGUCCAAGAAUGAAAUAUUUGUUGGCUAAGUUAUCAAGUGCAGUACCUAAUGAGUUCAAGGGUUGAGUUGCACUGAUAAGUUGAACUACUUGAGCCUAGUCAUCAGAUACUGAAGCAUAAGCAUCAUACAUCGAUUGAUCAGUUGAUGAAGACUCAAGUAUGGUUUGAAGUGGAGAGAAUGGAUUGAAAUCUGGAUUGAUAAUCAAAGUUGUACAAGUUUUAGAGGCCAUUUGUGGAGUUUCAGGUUGUUGGUUUUUUGAAACAGCUAAAUCAGAAGUUGUCUGAACUAAUUCACCUUCAAACUUCUCAAUGGAAGCAUAAUUUGAAGUGGCUUCACAAAAGCAGGUUGAAGCAAGUGAUCAGCAAGCAGAUUCUGACAUAUGUCAAUUCUUCUCUGAGCCAAAGAACUAAUCCUUUCAUCUAUGCAUGAUGGCUCAUAUGUAUCAACAUCAUCUGGCUUUUAGGUAUUUUUGGUUGAUGGUGAGGGGGCUAAGUCUUUUUCUAGGUUUGUAUAAAUUCUUUUCAAAGGAAUAUCAUCUGAAAUGUUUGUGAUUGAAGGUGGGUCAAGAUAUAUUGUAUUAUCUAAGAUAUUAUGAAAAGAACAAUUACCUCAUUCCGCAUCUGAAGCAACAACUUCUGAACAGGCUUGCUCCCUCUUGACUUGCAUGGUAGCCUUCAGCAAAUCACCAGUUUUGUCAGCAGCUAAAUCUUUAAUAGCUUCUUAGUAUUCCAAAACUUUCUUAGCAUCCUCAAUAGGAGUCUUUUUCACCAAACUUGCAACUGGAAUACCCACUUCUUCUGCUACUUCUUUUGCUUGUUUAAUUAGAGAAGCUUCUUUUCUUUCUUGUUCUUGCAUACUCUUAGUAGAAACAGUUUGAACAACUUCUUGAGCUUCUAAACAUGUUUCAGCAGCAGCUUUCUUGCUUCUUUUCAUUCUAGCAAGUGAUGAUGAUUCAACAACAACAUCUUCCUCUUUAGGGUAAGUUGACAACUUCAACUGUCUUAUUUGCUUCUAAGCCUUCUUCUUUUGAUCCUUAGGCUUUUGAUAAGAGUCAGUGACUGAAGAUCCACCUCUUGUUCUUGAACUCAGAACCUCAACAGGUCCUAAAUCAACAACCUCUUCCUGAAUUGGUGGAAGAGCUGGUUCAAUUAUAUUCAGCUGAGGAGCUUUCUUGUCUUUCUUCUGCUUCUUAGGCUUUGGUUUAUAUUCGUCAACAGCUUCUGAAGCAACCUUCUUUGAUUUCCUCUUUUUACUUAAAACUUUUAGAGGACCACCACUUGCAGUUUCAGGAAUUGCACUCUAAUUGAUGAUUUCUCCAGUCUUCUCAAAGUGAGUCAACACAUAUGCAGCCAGAACCUCUUCAUUGUCUUCCUUGUAAAUAGGAUGAAAAUCUUCCAUCAAAUCAAACACAAUCUCAUAUUCCUUCGUAUCAUCUUUCAGUACAAUUGCUUUAUCAACAAUCUGCAUGUACAUUAGUGUCCUUCCAUUGAUAAUUUUCCCAAUUAUAGUACCAAGUGUAACACUCCUAUUUCUAUUUAAACAAUUAAACAUGCGA
rnacentral:lncRNA from 1 species